rnacentral:rRNA from 1 species
UACGGAGGGUGCAAGCGUUGUUCGGAAUCAUUGGGCGUAAAGAGCGUGUAGGCGGCCAAGUAAGUCUGAUGUGAAAGCCCGGGGCUUAACCCCGGAAGUGCAUUGGAUACUGCUUGGCUAGAGUACGAGAGGGGGAGGCGGAAUUCCUGGUGCAGGGGUGAAAUCCGUAGAUAUCAGGAGGAACACCGGAGGCGAAGGCGGCUUCCUGGCUCGUUACUGACGCUGAGACGCGAAAGCGUGGGGAGCAAACAGG